CCUCAAAUCAUCUCUUUCAAAGGCAAUUUUCAUAAAAUGCCACAAAAAGUAUUUCUAUACAUGGCAAAUUUAAUUAAUGCCUUCAAUACUUUUAUCAUUAGAAGGCGUUUUAAAGAAAAACGCCUCAAAAACUCUGUGCUUUCAAGGCAAUUUCAUUAGCGCCUUAGAAAAUCUCCUAUUUCAGACGUAAUCACGGAACGCCAUAAAUUUUAUAUUAUUUGGGGGCAUUUUGCAAAAUCGCCAGGGUAACAGAUAGAAGGCACUUUUGAGAGAAAUGCCUCCUAAUCUAUACCAUAUAUGCAAAAAGAAUCCUGAAAGAAUUUAAGGUAUAAAAAUUAGUCCUUCCACCACACGUAUGCUACCUUAUCAGAUCCGAAUCAGAAUAGAUCGAUCAGAUCAGAUCGAAAAAAAAAAAUCUCACGCGGCUAGCGAGCGCGCGUGAUCGACUCCCGGCCGCCGCCCGGUGACUCGCCGCCGGCGACCGCCCGGCACCCCGCGCGCCCGCCCAUCGCCCGUCGCGCCAUGCCGCCGUCGACGGUCGAACGUCGCCCAUUGCGGCGUCGCCCAUCUCCGCAUCGGCGCAUCGCGCCGUAGCGCCGCCCGUUGACCUAGCUCAUAGGGAGAUUCGCCGCCGGUGAGCGCCCUGCGUCCCGCCCGCCUGCUGCCCAUCGCGGUGCCGCCAUCGACGCUCGACCGUCACCCGUUGCGCCGCCUCGCUGCCUCCACCCUCCAGCCCACGGCCUCACGCGCCCCGAGCCCACGACGCCGCCGCCCAGAGGUCCAGCUUCCACCUACAGACGAAGCCACGCGUGAAUUGAGUUGAGCUGCUAUCUGUCGGACUGUCACAAGUGCAAAUUAACUUCGAUUGAUUGAUCAUGGAUAAAGGGUGGAUGAAAGGAGAACAAUACAUGAUCUAACAUGCAAGGAUAACAUAGGACAUGAAGAUGUACAUUCUAGGACAAGUACUCUUGGAAAAGCCAGCGCUGGUUCCUUAAGUGCUAUCAAGUUCACUAAUAGCCAAGUGCUAACAACUUCACGGUUCUAGCUUAUGAAAGCAAUUAUUGGAUUUCAUUUUUGGAUUAAAGACAUGUACGAAGAUUAUCGUUAUCUGGCAAGUGUUCUGAUGCCAUCAGAAACAAUUAGAAGCUAUCACGUCAAGAUAUUCAACAACUGCACAUGGCCCUUUAUUGAUUUGUUUGUCUUUUCCUCUCACUUGUAGCCAGUAUAUAACUUCAGUGUAACAGAAUGUUAUUUUUUUAGUUGUAAACUGUGAUGUGAGAAAUAGUUGGAAAGAUAUCUAAAAAAGAUAGCAAAUUGCAAAUUUUUGGUGUUGAAUGAGCACUAAUAUUGGUUUGAUUGUACCAAUAUAUCAGUAUGUAAUUGGAUGAUUCAUUGGCCACAA